AUCCAGCUGACGAGCCUCAAAUAGGAUGAAACGCACGUCCUGAAU
rfam:Schistosoma haematobium scaffold700_17, whole genome shotgun sequence.